GAUGAACGCUGGCGGCGUGCCUAAUACAUGCAAGUCGAACGAACAGACGCGGCUCUUGCUCCUCUGACGUUUGCCGCGGACGGGUGUGUAACGCGUGGAUCCUCUCCCUAUCUGUCUGGUAUCAUUACGGGACUCCGGAGCUUAUACCGUAUGAUCUCUUGAUCCGCAUGGUUCAUUGGUGAAAGUCGGUUUUGCUGUCACUUCUCGAUGGUUCCGCGCCUCAUUGACUAGUUGGUACGGUAACGGCUUACCAAGGCUACGCUGCGUAGCCGACGUUCCAGGGGGAAGGGGCACACUGGAGCUGAGAGACGGCACAGAGUCCUACGGGAGGCAGCAGUAGCGAAGCGACCGCAAUGGGCGAAAUCCUGACGGAGCGACGGCGCGUGAGUGAUGAAGGUCUGCGUAUCGUAAAACGCUGUUAUUAGUGAAGAACAAAUGUGUAAGUAACGAUGCGCGUCUGGACGUUAUCUAAACAGAAAGCCACGGCUAACUACGU
rnacentral:rRNA from 1 species